CAGAGCCCCAGGUGUUCCCGGAGCAGUGUGCGGUUUACGCCCCUCUAGAGUAUGUGCCCGGCACCCACCAGUUCGGCCUGACGCAGAGCAGCCACAUGGCAUUGCCUUUCAAUCAGUCUGGCAUCAGGAAGAGCGGCCUUGUCUACUACGUGGCUCACCAGAACCAGGUGGACUGUGCCAUGCUGCAGCUGCACAGCGGCCACCUCCACUUCAUCUUUGAUCUCAGCAAAGGCAGAACAAAG